rnacentral:lncRNA from 1 species
AGAGGCGGCGGAAGGAGGAUGUGGGUUUGUCGGUGAAGGAGGAGGCGAUGGGGAGGGCACGCGGAGAAGGAGGUGGCGCAUUCUCGAGAAAAAAUAAUGAAGGAAAAAAAGAGAGAGAGAAAAAAAGAGAGAGAAAGAAAAGGAAUAAGAGUAUUUUCGUCCGAUGGCGAAAAAUCCGACCCGAAUCUGCAAAAUUAAAAAAGG